rnacentral:tRNA from 1 species
CCAGCUGUCGGCCAGUGGCCAGGCCGCCUCAUUUGGGUUGAGGAGAUCGGGGGUUCGAGUCCCUCCAGCUGGACCA